AAGUCACAGGGAACCAUCGCUGCCACAAGCGGCUGAAAAGCCUGACUUGAGGGAGAGGAAAGUCCGGACUGCAACAGGCCAGGGUGCUGGGUAAUUCCCAGGGGUGUGAAACGAAAGGUUCAUGCCACGGAAAGCGCCACAGAAAAAACACCGCCAUUUCGUUCAGAAGUGGUAAGGGUGAAAAGGCGUCGGUAAGAGCGCACCAGCGGCUGGGUGACCAGCCGGCUUGGCAAGCCCCACCUGCAGCAAGACCAAAUAGGGGAUAAGGGCUGGCCUGUCCUGAUCGAGUCCCGGGUUGGUCGCUGGAGCCGUAUGGAAACAUCCGGCCUAGAGGAAUGAUGGUUGGGGAUUCCUUUUGGAAUCCUGACAGAAUCCGGCUUACACCUGUGGCUUGCCG
rfam:Omnitrophica bacterium OLB16 TZ16_OP3001CONTIG000122, whole genome shotgun sequence.